UGCUAUCGGAUUGAUACUAAGCCAUGCGAGUCAUUGUAGCAAUACAAGGCAGACGGCUCAGUAACGCGUAGUCAACCUAACCUAUGGACGGGAAUAACCUCGGGAAACUGAGAAUAAUGCCCGAUAGAACACUAUACCUGGAAUGGUUUGUGUUCCAAAUGAUUUAUCGCCGUAGGAUGGGACUGCGGCCUAUCAGUUUGUUGGUGAGGUAAUGGCCCACCAAGACUAUUACAGGUACGGGCUCUGAGAGGAGUAGCCCGGAGAUGGGUACUGAGACACGGACCCAGGCCCUAUGGGGCGCAGCAGGCGAGAAAACUUUGCAAUGUGCGAAAGCACGACAAGGUUAAUCCGAGUGGUUUCUGCUAAAGGAACCUUUUGUCGGUCCUAGAAACACCGAUGAAUAAGGGGUGGGCAAGUUCUGGUGUCAGCCGCCGCGGUAAAACCAGCACCUCAAGUGGUCAGGAUGAUUAUUGGGCCUAAAGCAUCCGUAGCCGGCGCUAUAAGUUAGCGGUUAAAUCUGUACGCUCAACGUACAGGCUGCCGGGAAUACUGUACCGCUUGGGAGUGGGAGAAGGAAACCG
rnacentral:rRNA from 1 species